CCCCUAGAUGUUCUGGGCCGCACGCGCGCUACACUGAACAGUUCAACAAGUCUUAACCUUGGCCGAUAGGUCUGGGUAAUCUUUGAACGCUGUUCGUGAUUGGGAUAGACCUUUGCAAUUAUGGGUCUUCAACGAGGAAUUCCUAGUAAACGCAAGUCAUCAGCUUGCAUUGAUUACGUCCCUGCCUUUUGUACACACCGCCCGUCGCACCUACCGAUUGAAUGGUCCGGUGAAAUCUCGGGACGGCGGCUUGGUCGCUUGCGUCCGACUGCUGAAACUUGAUUAAACCAUAUCAUUUAGAGGAAGGUGAAGUCGUAACA
rnacentral:rRNA from 1 species